GAAGUGUUGCAAAUUUUGGAGGAAUUAUUAAUAAUAAUUCCAAUGUUACAAGCAUAUCUAUGUGUGUAUACACACAGAAUAUGUAUUCUUUUCUCAUUUAAUUUUCUUUUUGGCUCAAGGAAGAUUCUCCCUGAGCUAACAUCUGUGCCAAACUUCCUCUAUUUUGUACGUGGGUCGCCACCACAGCAUCUGCUGAUGAGUGGCGUAGGUCUGUGCCCAGGAACUGAACCUGGACUGCCAAAGCAGAGCACAUGAACUUAACCACUAGGCAACACGGCCAGCCCCUCAUUUAAUUUUUAAAAAUUGCAUGUAUGUCGAACCAUUAAUGUAAAAUAAUAAGAGUUUCUCAUGGAUAGAGAUGCUGCCUUUACAGUAUUUAAAUCUUUAAACAUCCUGCAUUCAGAAUAGGUGAUUCUUAAAUGCUUGUUGAUUUUAUGUGCUGAUUAACGAAUUAAAUGAGAAGUCCUUCUAAUAAGCCUGUACAGCGUUUCUAAAGAAGCCGAAGAUUGGUAAGAACUCAAAGACAGUGGCCAGCAAGUUCAAUGCCUUUGGAACCUAAAACUGUAUUACAAGUCCACACGUGCUAAGUGACUUGGGGCAAGAACCUAAGAAGCUUUAAACAUCCAUUUCCUCAUCUGUAAAAUGGGAUUCAAAUUGCUUUUUUUCAAAAUGUUGUUUUUAGGACUAAAUAUAAGUAUACGUAUGACAAUUUUAACAUCGUGCAGAACACAUACUAAGCAUGCAGUACUUGACUAUUCUUGCUGUGGAUCUGGGCAGGAUCCAUCAGAGCUGGGUAAGUCACACACACAAACAUGACUUGCAGCCAAGGCAUUUGGAGUGCUAGCUAUCAUGUGACUGAGGAGAACUUGGAGAUGGAGUUGAUGAGCAAAUUGACAUGCAGGAAUGGAAGAUGGGAUAUGAUAGAAAUUAUUUAUCACAAGAAUAAGAAUCUUUAGGAAUAAGAGAACACCAUUAUUUUUGGUUUGAUGCAUGCUCUCUUACCUAGUGUCAGCUAACAGAAUAGUUGUUCGCACCUGUUGAUCAUUUAUUUUGCACUGGGCUCUGUGCUAAGCCCUUUACGUGGGUUAUGCCAUUUAAAACUUAUGGUCACCUUGAGUUAGAUACUGUUCUUAUCCUCAGUUUACAGAGGCUUGGGAGAUUUAGGCAAUAUUUCAAAGUCUCUCAACUAAUUAAGUCUGAGGAGUAGAACUUGAAUCCAGGUCUAAUCUGACCCUUGGGCCCAUCCUCCCACCCACUGCACUCUACUCUAUUCACCAAAACAGGAGCAUCCUGAUCUUUAUUCUCAAGGUUUUUGACCCUUUAAUCUAUCCUAUGUGUAAUUUAUAAAAUUCAGAAAAAUUAUAGCCAAGUUCGGAGUAGUAAAAAUUCUUGGUUUCUUUAUUAAACUUCUAAACAUUUUAGUUUAAAGAAUUAUAAACAUAGCUUGAAACUUACUAUUAAAAGAUAGUAAUUGGCAAAUUUGAACCUACAAUCUCUUAUCGCUGUGUAUCAUGUUUAUGGACGAUGACCUGGUAAGGGGAGUAUUAAGGUAGUUGGUUAUUCAUUCUUUUGAAGAACCAGCAGACGACUCUCUCUACACCCACUCAAGCCUGCACUUAUCAAUAGCCUUUGGCCUGAAUAUGAAAGAUUUUCUCUUUUUGGACAUGAGUUUGGAGCACAAAAAAACAAAAGAAUAAAAGCAAAACACACCCAUACCUCUAAAAGAAGUUUUUGUACAAAACAUUUUCAAAUGCCACUGCAUUUUUUAUCUUCUCAGUAGCAACUAUUUAUAUUGUAAACAGAAAACUAAAGGUUUUUGGAGUUAAUUGCAAACAUUUUAUGCAGAGCAGAAAAGCACAAAAAAAUAAGCAUGGGUUUUAAAAAUAGCUUUUAUAAGAUCUACCAUGUAACUCUUGCGUCAAGUGAUUUUAGAAAUUAUUAUUCUUAGUAUAGACUUUCCAGGAGCAAUUAUGUUUUUAUGUUUUUAGCCCUCCUUCACAAGGUAAAGCAUGAAUUGAACAGACAUUCUGUGUUUGUCCUGCUCACAAUUGUUCUUAAGUGUGUCAGAAUAUCGGCUUAUAUUGUGUUAUUUAAUAAACUAAGCAUGUUAAUGUUUCUCAGAACUUGUGUGUAAAUGUUUGGCCAUGUUAGACCACAGGAUCUUAGUAUAGUCAAUAUAUGAAAAGAUCUGAACUUAAAGAUGAACUUGAAGUAAUUUUACUCCCAACAUUUUGCUUAGCCAUAUUCUGUUGAAUCUUCCUUCCAAUAUUUUGGACAGAUCCCAUGGGUUCCCUGUCAUGUUUGGUUAGGGAAAAUUCCAGUUGCAUUUAAUCCAAGUGGAAAUAUAAUGCCUUUCUAAAUUAAAGCCCUUCUCUUUUCUUGGCUUAGGGACUUGCUUUAAGGACAAGACUGGUCAGUCUUUUACUCAUCCUCUACCUUGAUUUUGAGUCCUCAAUUUAGUACUAACUAAACAGGUCAGCAUUGUGUGUAUUUAUGGAAAACAUUUUUGAGGUUGGUACUAGAGACAGAGAAAUGAAUCAGCCCUGUUCUCUACUCUCAAAACAAUCACAGAUUGAUGAAAGAGAAAGACAUUAAAACAACUUCAUUACAAUGUCAUGUGAUAAGAGCAACAAUGAAGAGAUAAAGCUAAUAUAAUAAUGAACAUAGAAGUCAGCUCUUCCCAGAGUGGAUUUCAGGGAAGAGUCCAUAGAAAAGCAGUUGGAGCUGUGUUUUGAAAUUGGCUUAGAAGAUCAGGUAGAGAAAAGUUACUCUGGGAAGCAGUGACAAUGUACACACAGACAAAAACAGACAGAUAUAAUCUGAUUUUUCCGAGAACGACAUGUAGAUAUUAUGUAAAAUAAAUGAUGGCCAAAGUUGUUAGAGUCUGAACUAAAAAUAGCUCUUCAGUGCCUGGGGCCCACUCUCUAGUGUGAACAUUCCAUCGCCAUGGGUUUCACUUUGUUAUAUAGUGAACACAGCUGAAUCCCACAUUGUAGUAUCUAGUGUGAGAACUUUGGAGAAUUCGGAAGGAAAGGCCCAUAGCAUUGGAAUUCUUAAAGGAGACUUGAAAAUUUAUUGAGAUGAAUAUAUAUUCACUCACUCAUUCUUGUACUGUUUAUCGUUGCUAAGUAUAUGUAAGCUACAUGUUGGGGAUUCACAGAUUCAAGGCAUAGUCACUCCAUUUGAGAAAUUGGCAGACAUGUAGAGCAUGUAAAAAAUGUGGGAAGUUCCUUAAGAAAGGGAUAGAAUGCAUGGAUUCCAGAGUAGGAGAUCAUCAUUUCCAAGUAAGACGUCUAGUGGACAGCUUCCUUUAUGCUUUAGUAAGUGGUGUUUGACCGAAGCCUCGAAAACUCACAGAAUAACUUCCAGCUCUCCCAGCCACAGAUGCUCUCCAAGAUUGCUGCAAAAUAGAAAUUGCUCAUAGUUCUUUGUGCACAGCACACAAUGGGGACAACAUUAAAUAUACGUUUUCUCUCCACGAAGAAUGUUUGCACUAAAGCUUUGGGCCUCAUAUCACAAAAAUGAAUAAACAAUUUUAUUUUAAAUUUUAAAGAUCAGCAUUUGCUUACUCAAAUAAAUCUUGUCAUUUGGGUUUCUCCUUCUUAUUGUAGCAUCAAGGUCAACAAUCAAUAAACUCAUUAGGACUUACAAGCAUCUUUGAUUAAUAUUCCUUGUCUAAUUCCCUGAGA
rnacentral:lncRNA from 1 species